UGGCGAUGACCGGGACAGCCCAUCGCGUAACUGCAGGUCAUCUUGGCCUCGCGGAAUGUCGCGUUUGGGAGAGUCUCAUCGGGAGCCGGACGGCCAGUCAAAGUCCAACUUGACAGUGGCCACUGCCCAUAGAGGGUGAUAGGCCCGUAAGGCGGCCGUCCGUUUCCGCCGACUUUUCCCUAGAGUCGGGUUGCUUGGGAGUGCAGCCCAAAGUGCGAGGUAAACUCCUCGUAAGGCUAAAUACGACCCCGAGACCGAUAGCAAACAAGUACCGUGAGGGAAAAUUGAAAAGAACUUUGAAGAGAGAGUUCAAGAGUACGUGAAACUGUGUGGUGGUAAACGGAGGGGUUCUCGAAGUCUCUGUGGGGAACUCAGCCUCGGUGUCGGGCGGUCAGGGUGUGUCCGAUCAGCAAUGACGGCGCUCUCUGUCUGGCUUGGCUCCUGGGUGCAUUUUCUCCGCAGUUUACGGCAGGAACCGUUUGGCUCGGAUCGAAGGCCCUGGGUGAAGUUGUCGGUUCUGCUGGCAGCCCCGGGUGUCCUGGCUCCGCGCCCGACGGGUACGUGAGAGGACUCGUAUAGCGAGCAACGCUCUGUUGCGGUUCUCAUCUCUCUGCCGAGUAGGUCGGCGGCCCCUCCGACCCGUCUUGAAACACGGACC
rnacentral:rRNA from 1 species